rnacentral:rRNA from 1 species
AGUGAACGCUGGCGGUAGGCCUAACACAUGCGAGUCGAACGGCAGCACAGUAAGAGCUUGCUCUUACGGGUGGCGAGUGGCGGACGGGUGAGGAAUACAUCGGAAUCUACUUUUUCGUGGGGGAUAACGUAGGGAAACUUACGCUAAUACCGCAUACGACCUACGGGUGAAAGCAGGGGAUCUUCGGACCUUGCGCGAUUGAAUGAGCCGAUGUCGGAUUAGCUAGUUGGCGGGGUAAAGGCCCACCAAGGCGACGAUCCGUAGCUGGUCUGAGAGGAUGAUCAGCCACACUGGAGCUGAGACGCGACCCAGGCUCCGACGGGCGGCAGCAGUGGGGAAUAUUGGACAAUGGGCGCAAGCCUGAUCCAGCCAUACCGCGUGGGUGAAGAAGGCCUUCGGGUUGUAAAGCCCUUUUGUUGGGAAAGAAAAGCAGCAGGUUAAUACCCCGCUGUUCGGACGGUACCCAAAGAAUAAGCACCGGCUAACUUCGU